rnacentral:lncRNA from 1 species
CUUAUUACAUGAAGAUGUUGCCAAUUUCUUCGAAUAUAUAGCUCCUCACUUUGGAGUCACUAUUUCUCGCACGAAGCUAUAUAUAAAAAAAUAAAAUAAAAUAAAAAACAGCAUUUUUUACAAACUUCCGACAUGAAAGCCAAGUUACAAAUAUUACAAGUUUUAGUUGAUGCUUAAAUAAACUUUAGUUGAUGCCUUAAAUAAACUUAAUUUGUAUUCUAUCAAGCACAAGUACAACUAGUCACAUGUACAUAUCGAAGGAUUAAUUAAAUCAUUCAAUGAACAUUGUUUAAUUAAGGAAAACAUGCUUCACUUAUCAAAUGUCGAGCUAUUACAACAUUGCUGUCAAAGCCGAUUUAAAAAGAAUGAGAGACAUGGAUAAAACUAUAAAUAAGAUUUUUUAAAAUAUUAAAAAUAAAUAUAUUUUUUAUUUUUUAUAUAUGUCUAAUUAAUAAGUGAAGCCUUGAGUAAUUUUUAUUUUGUAUUUGGAAUCUUUUAUUAAGUAUGAGUAAUCUUCAUUUUAUAAAAGCAUAAUUAACAAAUAUACUUUACUUAUUCUUGUAAUUUUUUUAAAAAAAUUAGGGUUCUUGGACUAUUCUAGUAGUACAAGUUUUACCUUUUCUACAGUAUCAACCACCUAAUCUUUCUUUUCAACCAUGAAUUUUUUCACUGUAAAUAUUUAAACCCUCCUAGAUUCCUCUGCAUCAAUUAACAAUUCUUGUUGUGAGUUUAUUAUAGUCAAGAAAGCCUUCCCUUUUAGUUUAGAAGUUUAAGGUUAGAUCUUUAUUUUAAAUAUUAACAUUACGAAAUUUAUACAAAUUUUCCCGGCCUAAAUGCCUAGGACCUACAUCAUAUUACCAACGCCUACUACUAAUUCUAGACUACAUGCAUCUAUAUCCACACUUUAUAAUAUGUUUCAUUUUUAUAUUUUUCUAUCAAAAAUAUAAGUUUACAUCUUUUUAUAAUCUUAAUUUCACAUACAACCUGAAUAGUUGCGGGUUUUUAUGAACAUUUAAUUUGUUUUCCAACCACUAUCCUAUCAGGCUUCAUAACCUUUUAGGAAGGACUUUAUGAAGCUGGUUGAAUAUUAUUAUUAUUUUUAGCUCCCACUUUACUUGUUUAUGAAAAACUCCUAUAAGUUAGGUUAAAUAAGUUGUUAUUAUAUGAGCGCCUUUGCAACAAUAUUUUUUUUUAGCACUAAAAUUUAUGUGUCAUUAAGUAUUUACAACAUUUGUACUCCUAUGUUAUCCCUAAAAAGGGUAAAAUUCAAUAAAAACUUGACAUUAAAGAAUAAAAAGAAAAAGAAAAACCCUAAAAAUCUAAUAAAAAGAUAGCCCAAAUGCAGGCUAAAAUGGCCCAACAUGGCUGAGUUUGUUAAAAAGCCCAAGUCAUUCACCGCUUCUUUUAUUUUUUUUAAAAUGACAGGCUAUAUGUGGCAUAAAAAUUAAUAUAACUCACACCGUAACUCGAGCCAGUGAUCUUUGGCUAAAACUCACACGUUAACCAAUUGAACUGCUAGAUAAAACUAUUAAUUAUUGAUUAAAAAAAAAAACAUUAUUACCUUAUUUUAGUGUUUUUAAACGUAUAAAUGAAAAUAUGACUCCCGGCAUAGCUCGAACCUAGAACGGUUUAUAUGAUACAUACUAACCAAUUGAGUUACGAAACAAAGAAUAUAUUAACACGCUUCACUACAUAUGAAGUAAGAUUCAUCCCAUGUCAUAUAGGUGUUUCCUUAAUGUUAAUGCUGUUAGGGUAAUGUCACUACCGACUGAUAAAGUCCAACAUAUCAAUGUCUAAGUUUAAUAACCUUGUUUUUUAAGAAAGUAGAUCGGCAACUUUCUUGGGGUACCAUCUUGCAUCCUCAUUUCCAGUUCACAUGCAAGAGGCCCAUCUCCUAAGAGUUAGUCAAAGCCUCGCAGCAACACCUGUCAAAAAGCAAAACCCUUGCUUUCCCCUCAUGGCAUGAAAUAAAGUUAGGAAACGCAAGUGUGCCCCAUCAUACAGAAGGGAAACUCUGAUGCUAUCAAAUGCAUUUGUCCACAGGGAAAACGAAAGGAAGAACAAAGAAAAGAAGGAACAAGGAUGGCCCCUACCUUUUUCUUUACUCCAAAGCUAAUUAACUGGGAGUUCUUGGCAUGUUCGAGAGAAUUACCUUGAGUUUGCAGCUACUUUUUAGGCAUCACAUGAAUAGAAUCCCUCUCGGUUCUUGCAUUUCUUAUUCCUCAUGAUGUUCUCCCUCUGACUGGUAAAGUUUCUCAGGGAUGUUUUGAAUCCACUCGAGGUAUUAUUAUUGCCUAGUCGAGUAACCAUUGGGCCUCUUCUCUUUCUUCUUCUUUUCUUUUUGUUCCUUAGAUGAUAACACGUUUACUGAGAUUUCUGGUAAAUUAAGAAAACGAAAAUAG